GUCCUGGCCACUUCCUCCUAAGCCCGCCUCCUAACCUCUGUCAAGGCCCUUUUCCACUAAGCUGUGCUUUGGCUACAUGGGGCUACAAGAGACAAAUUCAGGAACACUCUGCUGAUGUUUUUCUAUGCAUAGGAUGAGGCAGAGGCAUCAAUGAUGCCCACCGAUUAUCAAAGAUAAAGAACACAGUAAUGAACAGUUAAACUGAGCUGCAGGGUCUCCUUACUGUAGUUCCAACAGUGUAACAAGCAGGUAGACAAAAAAAUGGAGCAUCAAGUAGGUAGUGCACACUUAGGUGCUACUGCAAUUUAUUAGAGGACACAAUAUAAACAAACGUUUCGGGCAACAAGCCCUUCCUCAGUGCUAAUGUCCUACACAAUACAAGCAGUACAGACAAUAUAUACAAGUGAAAGAAAUGCUCACAUGCAAAAGAGUGCCACCCUCAGCAAUAAUGCAAUUUAACAGCAGC